UUUGAACUCAGUCAGUGCUCUUAACUGCUGAGCCAUCUCUCCAGUCCCUUUCCUGCUCUUUUUAGCCGUGCACUUCUGUUCUUUCUUCUCUACCUGGGAGAAGCAGAAGACCCCAGUCUUUCCUAUGGCAUAUGCUGACGGCUGUUAGGGUUUGAAUCUGAGGUUGCCCAGAGGUGCAGUGGUUCCCAGUUUGUAACACUAGUUGAAAGCCAACAGGCCUGUAGGAUGUGGGGCCUGGAUGCAGGCAGUGGGUUGCUAAGGGUGAGUGUUUACCCUGCCCAUGUCCCUGGUUCCAGCCUGUGCCUUCUGCCAUCUUUCUGUGCACUAUAAACAGCAAGUAGUGAGGACGGAGUUACUCCCAACACCGGAGCUACUCCCAACGCCAGGUGUACCCUGCAAUGAUGGAUUGAGAUGUCUCUGAAACCAUGAGACAAAACAAACCUCCUCCUUUAAUUGUUUCUGUCCAAGUAUUUGUCACAAGAAAGAGAAGAAUGACUAACGAAAUCAAACAAAUAAGGCACUCUAUCCUGCCUAUUCCCAUCCUUCAUUCCACUGUUAACGCCGUAUAUUCAUCCGACAGACAUUCCCUCACCCCCUUUUUGCAAGGGCACUUUCUAGAUACUGAGAAGUGAGGGUAGACAGAGAAUGUAAUUGUAAUAUACACUUACACACACAAACAUUCACAUAUACUCACAUAUACACUCAACCAUAUAUACAUGUGUGUGUAAUUAUAGCCUAUGGGGAUAUAUAGUUACCUUUUAAAAUAUUUUUUCAUAUUUUUUCCUGCAUCCCUGUGUAUACAUUUCUCUGGUCUCUGGUUUCAAACUAUACAAGGACAAACCCUGUACUUGGAAGUCAUCUCUGAUUGGGGAAUGUAAAGAGAUACCUCCCAAAGUACAUCAUUGUCAAUUGCGUUUUCCCCCUACUGACAUCAAAAGUCAGGGUAGGUAAAGACAUGCAAAUACAAGUUUCAUUUCAAGAGAAACAGCAGGAGAAGCUCUGGCAAACUGGAUAAUUUCGAUUACUGAAUGGUACAUGUUCAUUACUCAUUAUUUAUAAGGCGAUAGAGAACCCCCCCCCCACACACACACCCGUGCCUGCUGGGUUAAUGGGAAAAUUUCCAGUAAAGCCUAGCGAUGCCAAUGCUCUGUGUGUGCUGUGUAAAGCCCACAGUGAACUAGAAGGUCAGGCCUUCUUAAUUCAUUAGUCGGUAACCUAUUAGUUCUGAAAGCUACUGAGUCUGCUUUGUCAUCGUUUUCCCAGAGCAUUCCCCAGAGUAGCACUCUCUCUGUAAAAUAUUGAGCUUAUUAAGAGUUUUUGGACCUCUGAUUAACGUUCACAGCAAAAAGCUGUGUUAAGUAAAUUAGGCACUAGAUAAAUCUAAAGUGAUUGUGAGCCGUCGUCAGCUAAAUUAGGACGCUGAUGGCUCGCAUAACAAGAUGCAAAGCAAUAGUAAUUAAGAAAAAUAAUCACCUUGGCUGCUGAGAGCUCAGGCUUGGCCUCAGGUGAAGCAAAUCUCCAGCUAUGUCUUGUAAACAGUGAGGCAAAUCUUACUGUUUUGUCCUUUUAUGAAGGAGUGGGCUUAGAUCCUAGCCCUCUUGGACAGUCUAGUGGAAUGGUAUGUGUAAAGAGUAACCUUGAUUGCAGGAGAACAACAGUAUCGUCGUUACUGUUCUGUUGCUGUGAAGACACGCAUGACCAAGAUUUCUUUAGGGACAGGAAGUCAUCCUGUGACCAGUUCUGACCAGUGGGACAUGGGUGGCAGCUCCUGGGAAGAGCUUUCGCAAGCACAUGGACUCUGCUCUCUGCCCCUUCUCCUUUCUUCCUGCUUUGAACACAAGCAAAACACCCCUGUGAAGAUGCAGUAACCAUGCUUGAAGGCUGGUAACACAGGAAGCCAGGCGUUCCGUUCUGUUCGUGAUUCUUGGGUGCACGCCGAAUUGGGAAUUGAGUGGGGGUUUCCCCACUAGGUUCUUUCAUUUUCAUUCAUAAUGUUCACACAUGGGAUUCUCUGGAGAGCACAGGCCAAGCCGUGUGAAUGCAGUCUGAGGACAGGAACUCGGGAUCACUUCAGCUGGAGUCAACACAUCCAUGGGGACCCGUGAGAUGGCUAUGUGGACAAAGGUGCUUGUCACCAAGCCUGACAGACUGGGUUUGGUCCCCAGAACCUACACAGCGGAAGGAGAGAACCUAUCCCCACAGGUUGUCCUCAGACCUUCAAGUUCACUAGAGUGCUUUGAACUUUGCAGAACUGUAGAGAGCUCACUGCCACUUCCUGGGAAGGACUCAUGUUCCCUGCGUUUGCAAUCAUUUCCCUCAAACUUGACCUGCCGCCUCCUAAAGACCACCAAGCUCCUAUUGGACCUUCAGGAUUCCCAGGCUUCUCUGAUAGUUUUCUUCUAAUACUUCUGUUUACUUCCCAGGUCCAAAGCCAUCUCAAUAUGUGAGGAUUUUGUCAGGGCAGUCCUGUUGCAUGUUCAGUACCAAAAUUUAUAUUAGCGAUCUACUGUGGGAUGAUAAAGUACUAACAACUUAAUAUUUGAAGACAAGAAGCUGGUGUCUCACAUUUAUGUGGGUUAAGAAUUUGAGAGUAGUUGAGCUUGGGGCUUCUUGUUCAUCUUCUCUUAUUGUAGUCAAAAUAUGAACGAAGAUGGCAGUCAUCAGGAGGUU